GAUGAACGCUGGCGGCGUGCCUAAUACAUGCAAGUCGAGCGAACUGAUUAGAAGCUUGCUUCUAUGACGUUAGCGGCGGACGGGUGAGUAACACGUGGGCAACCUGCCUGUAAGACUGGGAUAACUUCGGGAAACCGAAGCUAAUACCGGAUAGGAUCUUCUCCUUCAUGGGAGAUGAUUGAAAGAUGGUUUCGGCUAUCACUUACAGAUGGGCCCGCGGUGCAUUAGCUAGUUGGUGAGGUAACGGCUCACCAAGGCAACGAUGCAUAGCCGACCUGAGAGGGUGAUCGGCCACACUGGGACUGAGACACGGCCCAGACUCCUACGGGAGGCAGCAGUAGGGAAUCUUCCGCAAUGGACGAAAGUCUGACGGAGCAACGCCGCGUGAGUGAUGAAGGCUUUCGGGUCGUAAAACUCUGUUGUUAGGGAAGAACAAGUACGAGAGUAACUGCUCGUACCUUGACGGUACCUAACCAGAAAGCCACGGCUAACUACGUGCCAGCAGCCGCGGUAAUACGUAGGUGGCAAGCGUUAUCCGGAAUUAUUGGGCGUAAAGCGCGCGCAGGCGGUUUCUU
rnacentral:rRNA from 2 species